UGCAGGCGUUCAACUGGGUGUGACUGGAUGCCGAAUUGUAUGAAGCUGCCGAUGUUCGCGGUCUGUAAAACGGAGUUUGAAGGAAAGGACGCUUCACGCUCGAUUUCAAUCAGCGUUGCCGUACGUGAUAGCCGCUGAGCUGUCGGUGGUUCGAGAGAGAGGGAGAAAGAAAGAGACAGUAGAAGAAAGAAAGACGGAACGGAUUCAUUAAAAAAGAAAAGGGAAAAGCAUGCACCAGAAAAUGCUGGGAAAGAAAGCGCGCGCGAGCCUGCGCAUUUGGAGCAUUGUAAAGAUGCGUGGUGUCUUAUGGGUUCGCCAACUGCGUUCCUGUAGUUUUCAUUAUUCGCACCUUUCGCUUCGGUCUUGCGUCAAGCUUGUAUCGUUUCUUUCCUCCUUUCUUUCUUGUUUUCAGUAAUUGGAUUGCGAACCCCCCAGCUUCUGGUUUUCGCGUUCUUUUUUUUUUUUUGCGUAUACCACUUACCUAACAGCGUGACCGCUACAGCAUAGAAGAAUAACGUUUUAGCACUUACGCGAUUGUCAACUUUUCACGUCCUCUUUCUCUUUUUUUUUGUUAUUGUUGUUGGGUGAACGAGGCUUUGUCGACCGGUGCAUCGCCACUUCCGGCGUCUCGGCUCGUCUCGGCUUAGCGUUUGCUCGCGAGCAGCUGCGCGCUCUCAGCGUAUUACGCUGCAAGAAGCGUUCUCGCGUGCCGGAAAACGCCGGGGCACGCCCUAAAUCAGCGAGAAGAGCUUUCAGCGAUUCCGUCCUCGAUGAACGCGCGCCGACCGGAGUGAAACUAUCGCGCAGCGAAGCGCCUUCUCACUGCGCGGCAUAACUUCGCCACUUGCCGGAAGAAGACGCCGCUUCUCCCGACUCGGCCAUGCAAAGACGAAGGCCCUGCGGCCGCCUUAGUUCUAAACCAAAACAGGAUGACGCCCAUUACUAUUCCGCCUUUUUUGCAUCCAGCGGCUAUUUUGACCGCCUCGCGGAUGCGCCCCGAGUACGGCUAGCGCGCUUGCAAAACUGACGCGCCCAGCUCGACAUUUCCGAUUGGACGCGCCGUUCGGUUCCGCGUUCCGAUGCGAUUGUGCGGUGGUCGAGCAGCGCGAACCUGAGCGCGCUUCGAAGACGACGUAAGCCGAUUUGGGGCGACGACUGGCUCCGUCGUCGCUGGAAUUGCCCUGAUCGCCACUGCCGAUGCUUGGGCGGCAGCAACAGUGAUUGGAAUGCGGCUCCCGAGAAUCAAACCUGUGUGAUCUCGUGCUGAGCAGCAAGCCACCAUAGCGACCCAAGCAGGAGAGCUGCACGAAAUGCGUCGCUGCUCCUUCAAAGCCGCGUGCCCGCCGCCCCAACAAAGGCGCCAUUGUCGACAUCAAGCUUCAGCACGUCCGGCAGCGCACAUGCUGCCGCCGCAUCGGGCACGUGCGACGCGCUCCUACGCGAGUGACCGGGAACACUCGCGGAGGCGCGGGCCUUUCACUAUCUGAGAUGGCCGCUCGUA